rnacentral:lncRNA from 1 species
CUGUGUUCUAUCUUGCGUUUCUCCUUUGGCUUCUUCUUCCUUCGUACAUAUUUAUGGGUUACUAAAUGGUGAUGAUAAUUGUGCUUUGUGACUAACACUUCUCCUUUCUUCUUCUUCUCUAUUCUCUAUUUGUUGCAGUAGGUGUUACAGAAAAGGACAUGGCCAAACAUGUGAUAAAUUUUUCCUUCUAUUUCCUGUUCGGUUCUUCUCGUCUUUUUAGGCAAGAACUCGAAAAAAUUGAACUUUCAUUUUGUUCUCGUUGUUCUUGGUAGACUUAUUUGCUAUGGUGGGUUGGGAGUUUGAUUGAAAAUUUUCCUUCUGUCUUCGGUUUUAAAGUUCUUCUUGGUAGCUUUAAAAUUUACUCUUGUGGGUUGAGAGUUUUGAUUGAAAUUCCUACAUCUCUCAAGGUUUUUAAGUUUCUUCAUGGUAGAUUUACUAUUUAUUUUUGUUGAUUGGGUGUUUAAUUGAAAGUCCUAUAUCUCUCAAGGUUUUUAAGUUUCUUGUUGGUAGAUUUAUUUAGUUUUGUGAUUGAAAAUAUGAAGAUUUACGACUCGUUAGAAGGGCGAAACCAACAUUACUGAUGCUGAUGGUGCAAACAAUAUUUGCUGGAAUCAAUAUUGUUUAUAAAAUGACUGCAAACGAUGGAAUGAAGUUGUCUUUUUUGGUGGGCUAUGGAUUCAUGUUUGGCCUGGUUUUUGGUUUUGGUUGCCCUCUUGGUUAAAAGGUUCUAAUGCAUAUAUAUUUCAAUUUUUAAAUUUACAAGAAAGAAUAUUUAAUUCAAUGGUAAUUGUCUUGGAGUUUUUUCCCCCUUCACAUCUAGGAUUUAUGAAUCUCACAAAAAAAUUGAACAUAUUAAAGCUAAAAUGCACACACAAGAAUUUAUUCUGAAUCUGAAUCUUGAAAUUUUCUUGAUAUUUCUAGAAGAAGAUGCUUAAGUUAACAUGGAUGGUAGUCUUCUAAGCGUUUCUUUAUGGUCUAUUCAGGUAAGUUUCAAAAUUUUUUAAUAUGUCAAAUGACUUACUAGUUUUGGAUAGGGUUUUUUGAGAUAAACAUUCCAUGUGUUGAUUUAUGGAGAAGUGUACCCCAAAUAAGGACUCUCUUAAAUGUAGUUGAGAUCUAUUGACCUCAAUAUUUGCCUUUUUCAAUUGCAUUAUGUGACACGUGUUGUACUAUAUACGUUUGCCCAGUAUUAACAGGGACAGAUCCAAGAUUGGAUUUAAGACCAAGUUACAAAAUUUCAAAUCGGGCUACUACGCGGAAAAAAGAAUUUUACACAUAAAAAACUGGUUUUCUACCAAAAAAAAUAAAAAAUACCUUAAAAAGCUAUUGUGCCUGAGUGGGAAGGGCUACAGCCCAGCCCCACCCCCCUAGAUCCAUCUCUGAGUAUUGAUAAAAGCUUUCAUUAGCAAACAUAUGGUUCACGAGUACCUUGGCUUUCAUUGGUGAACCUAAGGUUUAUGGUAGUCUAAGACGUUCUUUAUGAGUAUGACGACAUUUUUAGCGGGUUGAUAAUUCAAUCAUAUGUUAUGCUCUUUUUUUUUUUGUUAUUUCUACUUUUAUCGAAAUAAUUCAUUGUUGAUUAAUAAAUUGAUAGUAGUAAUUACCCAAGAAUGUUGCAUAUGGAUGAAUUCAAUUAUUUGACAUUGGUAUUUUAAGAUUUUAAGGUAAUGUAAUAGAUAAUACAAUCCUUGUGGAAUGAUCACUGUUAUGAAAUUAAUUUUUCGACCAUGAUUAUGGACUUAAUUUAAUAGGUUAAAGUAAUAAUCAAUACAAUUUUUCUAUUGUAGACGAUCAAUCGGCCAAAAUUUUUACUUAAAAAGUAUGGCAAUGACUUCUACAACUUCUGCUUCGGCCUUGACCAAUUGUGUUCCCGCAUUGAACAUAUUUUCUUAACAUCAAAGGUGGAUUAAUAGUUAACUUAUGAGAUUUCUUCCUUCCGAAGACCUAAUCAAUCUUAUCGGUGAGCAAUGUAGGAGCAUUGUCAUCUUUGCUGAAUUAGAGGAGAACUUUGUAGAAGUAAGAGCUUUCUUUUCCAUCUUCUUUUGCAUUAUAUUAUAAGUUAUAUUUUCGUGAAUAAAUGUUAGUUUUAGUUUUAGCGAAAGUACGACUUUAUUGCUAUUGGCAAUUGCUAUCCUUAAAGGAGAACUUGAAUUAUAUUGUCAUUUUGAAUCAAAAGUACCGUUUGUUCUUUGAAAUAUAGUAAUACUACCAUUAGACAUGUUUAGUAAUACUACCAUUAGACAUGUUUAGUGCAAAUUUUGUCCUUGUGAGUGUCGAUUGAUAUGCAAAAGACAAUCUAAUGUUUGGGAGAACCUCAAAAUAUGCCUGGCACAAAUGAUGCUUAUGACAAUCUGAUGUCCUUUAUAUUUCAUUGUCUUGAUUAUGUGUCAAAAGUGCUACUUUAAUAUAUUAUUGUUAAUGGUCCAUGAUUUUUCUUUACUCUCUCUCACAGAGCAAAGGACAUGGAUUGCAUUU